rnacentral:rRNA from 1 species
AACGAACGCUGGCGGCAGGCCUAACACAUGCAAGUCGAACGCAUCGCAAGAUGAGUGGCGCACGGGUGAGUAACUCGUGGGAAUGUAUCCUUUGGUUCGGAAUAAUGUCUGGAAGCGGACGCUAAUACCGGAUGAGCCCUAUGGGGGAAAGAUUUAUCGCCGAAGGAGCAGCCCGCGUCUGAUUAGGUAGUUGGUGGGGUAAAGGCCUACCAAGCCGACGAUCAGUAGCUGGUCUGAGAGGAUGAUCAGCCACACUGGGACUGAGACACGGCCCAGACUCCUACGGGAGGCAGCAGUGGGGAAUAUUGGACAAUGGGCGCAAGCCUGAUCCAGCCAUGCCGCGUGAGUGAUGAAGGCCUUCGGGUUGUAAAGCUCUUUCGCACACGACGAUGAUGACGGUAGUGUGAGAAGAAGCCCCGGCUAACUUCGUGCCAGCAGCCGCCGUAAAAC